rnacentral:rRNA from 1 species
UUCGGAUCGCAGGCUGCAACCCGCCUGCGUGAAGUCGGAAUCGCUAGUAAUCGCGGAUCAGCAUGCCGCGGUGAAUACGUUCCCGGGCCUUGUACACACCGCCCGUCACACCAUGAGAGUCGGGAACACCCGAAGUCCGUAGCCUAACAGCAAUGAGGGCGCGGCCGAAGGUGGGUUCGAUAAUUGGGGUGAAGUCGUAACAAGGUACC